AGUGGGAUCCUCUCAUCUCCGGCAUAUUCCUGUCCAGGUCAGCGGCACGCUAAACCUGGAAUGAGAUCAGGGGCGGCUUUAGGUGGCCGUGUGGUCUCAGAGGUUUUGGGCGAAGGACGGCAAUUAGAGCGGGUGCCGUCGCUUGUCUUUGGUGGAGCGGCAACCGCGUGACUGGGAGCGGGGCUUUGCACGGCGGGGCUGGCCGUGACAUGCGCACACUGAGAAUGUCCGAUCGCAGCGAGAGAUAUGUAGUCCAUGUCAAACGCCAGGAGCGAUGGCGUGGACAAACAGUUAUGCCUUGGGCGACUGCAGCUCUGCUCGGGCUAAAGGACAGAAAGGAGGAUCGUUCAUCACCUCCAAAUAAUGUUUUCAAAGAAGACAGGAGCUGUACUCACACCUGUAACGUGAGGUUUACUAUUAAGGAUGUACAUUAACGUCAAAGGGUCCUUUGUAACCUUAAGGGAAUCUUUGAGUGUAACCUCAAAUCAGGUGAGGGCAUAAUAAAAAAGAUCAUUGAGGAUUGAAGUGGAG
ensembl:lncRNA